GUGAAUCGUUGUGGUAUCUGACGACGCGAAAUGGGCCAAAAUGAUCUAGGUCUCUCAUCUCACUGUGCUCACUCUCAAAAAUUCCUGUGUCUCCGGUCUGACACGUCUUAUUGAUGGUUCGCUGCUGCCCGAUUCAGCCCUGGUGGAACAGGUAAAAUCCCUUCGGCAAGGUCAUGCAUUGUGGCUGAAUGGUUCGGUUGUUGCCAUCCGAACCAAUAUUGCCGAAAUGGAAAAAUGGAAGGAUGCGCCAGGACAUGAACUGGAGCAGACCGACCGCAUCUCCGCCCCCUGGGAUGUCUUCCGGAAAAAUGGUGAUCAGAUUCGCUCAGAUUUUAGCCUGAUUACUGCCGGACGUAAAUCCGAGGUACUGUCCGAUCCGCACACAAAAAUUUAUCAUCCGGAAAAUAUUUUUCUUGAACCCGGCGCACAGGUUCUCGCUUCGGUCAUCAAUGCCACGGAUGGUCCCGUAUACCUGGGACGAAACAGCAUCAUCAGGGAAGGUUCAUCAUCCGCGGUCCCUUCGCACUUGGUAAUGAUGCGCAGU
rnacentral:rRNA from 1 species